rnacentral:rRNA from 1 species
UUGUGGUUAAAAAGCUCGUAGUUGGAUCUCAACAGCCUUGGAAGCGGUUAACUUUGUAGUUUUACUGCUUUAUAGGCUGUGCUUUUGCUGGAGGUUUAGGGGUGCUCUUGAUCGAGUGUCUCUGGAUGCCAGCAGGUUUACCUUGAAAAAAUUAGAGUGCUCAAAGCAGGCUAAAAUGCCUGAAUAUUCGUGCAUGGAAUAAUAGAAUAGGAUGUCGAUCCUAUUUUGUUGGUUUUCGGGACUCGACAUAAUGAUAAAUAGGGACAGUCGGGGGCAUUUGUAUUCAAACGACAGAGGUGAAAUUCUUGGACCGUUUGAAGACAAACUACUGCGAAAGCAUUUGCCCAGAAUGU